CGACCAUAUACUAACUGCUGUCUGACCAAACUCUAAUAACGACCGACCAUAUACUGACUGCUGUCUGACCAAACUCUAAUAACGACCGACCAUAUACUAACUGCUGUCUGACCAAACUCUAAUAACGACCGACCAUAUACUAACUGCUGUCUGACCAAACUCUAAUAACGACCGACCAUAUACUGACUGCUGUCUGACCAAACUCUAAUAACG